rnacentral:misc_RNA from 1 species
GAUGAAGAACGUAGCGAAAUGCGAUAAGUAAUGUGAAUUGCAGAAUUCAGUGAAUCAUCGAAUCUUUGAACGCACAUUGCGCCCCUUGGUAUUCCGAGGGGCAUGCCUGUUCGAGCGUCAUUAUGACCCCUCAAGCUCAGCUUGGUGUUGGGGCCUGCUGCACUGGCAGCCCUUAAAAUCAGUGGCGGCGCCAUCUGGCUCUAAGCGUAGUAAUUCUUCUCGCUAUGGAGUCCUGGUGGAUGCUUGCCAUCAACCCCCAAUUUUUCUAUGGUUGACCUCGGAUCAGGUAGGGAUACCCGCUGAACUUAAGCAUAUCAAUAAGCGGAGGA